GACGAACGCUGGCGGCGUGCUUAACACAUGCAAGUCGAACGGUGAAGGAGAGCUUGCUCUCCGGAUCAGUGGCGAACGGGUGAGUAACACGUGGGCAACCUGCCCCAGACUUCGGGACAACGCUUCGAAAGAGGUGCUAAUACCGGAUACGAACUCCUUGGGCAUCCUUGGAGUUGGAAAGUUUUUCGGUCUGGGAUGGGCCCGCGGCCUAUCAGCUUGUUGGUGAGGUAACGGCUCACCAAGGCGACGACGGGUAGCCGGCCUGGGAGGGCGGCCGGCCACACUGGGACUGAGACACGGCCCAGACUCCGACGGGAGGCAGCAGUGGGGAAGAUUGCGCAAUGGGCGAAAGCCUGACGCAGCAACGCCGCGUGAGGGAUGACGGCCUUCGGGUUGUAAACCUCUUUCAGCAGGGAAGAAGCGAAAGUGACGGUACCUGCAGAAGAAGCACCGGCUAACUACGUGCCAGCAGCCGCAGUAA
rnacentral:rRNA from 1 species